CCAUGCGCCUCGGCGGACUGUUGCGAAUUGAGCUGAGCUCGUGCGCCGGCUGCUGAAAUGCAGUCUCUCAUCUCACCAGUGACUAAGGCUAUCCUUGUAGCUCUGUUUAUUUUUGCCAUUUUGCUCAUCCUCUAUGUGAUACUGUGGUAUAUAUGCAGAGACGUGGACUGUGAUCACGGCAUUUGAUUUUGGAGACCGAAGCUGCGGAUCCGCGGAGAAGUCAGGGUGACCCCGUUUUGCCCAAACAGAAUGGCGAGAUUGCUAUAGUGACGGGCGGCGCCAAAGGACUCGGCUAUGAGACGGUCAGACAGCUGACGAAUCUGGGAGUUUAUGUCAUAAUAGCCUCACGUAAUCAAGCGGAGGGUGUGGCUGCUGUGAAGAAGAUUUGUGAGGAGAACAGUGAAGCUCAGGGUGAGUCAGGCUUUAUAACACACAUAUAACGCACAUAUAACACACAUAUAACACACAUAUAACGCACAUAUAACGCACAUAUAACACACAUAUAACACACAUAU